rnacentral:rRNA from 1 species
GAUGAACGCUGGCGGCGUGCUUAACACAUGCAAGUCGAACGAUGAAGCUCAGCUUGCUGGGUGUAUUAGUGGCGAACGGGUGAGUAUCACGUGUGUAUCCUGCGCUUUACUCUUGGGGAUGCCUUGAGAACUAGGUCUAUUAUCGGAGAUGAGCGCCUACGGCACGUGGUGUGGGGUGGAGAUUUGUCGGUUUUGGAUGGACUCGCGGCGUAUCAGCUUGUUGGUGGGGUAAUGGCUCACCAAGGCGACGACGGGUAGCCGGCCUGAGAGGGUGACCGGCCACACUGGGACUGAGACACGGCCCAGACUCCUACGGGAGGCAGCAGUGGGGAAUAUUGCACAAUGGGCGAAAGCCUGAUGCAGCGACGCCGCGUGAGGGAUGACGGCCUUCGGGUUGUAAACCGCUUUCAGUAGGGAAGAAGCGAGAGUGACGGUAACGGCAGAAGAAGCACCGGCUAACUACGUG